AAAUAUUGCGCCACUUCAUUUCCGUACCAGGUACCACAACUAAUCCUCUUAAUUCCACAUCAUAACUCUUUCUCUGUACCUUCCUCAGUUUGAUUCUAAUUCAAACACUUUUUCAUUAAUUUCUCCAAACAACUUCUAUAUAAUUAAUUCUCCAUUUUCUCAUCCUUCAUCAUGCAUCCUCAUUCUAACUCAUAACCCUCUCUUCAUCACCAAAAAAUUUCACUUUCCACUCCAAAAAAAAAAACCACUUCAAAAUUCACAAAAAAAAUUCAAUCAAAACUGACUUCGAAAGAUUAGUCUUUGCAGUUAGGUGCGCACAAACAUAUGUGUCUUGGUUUAUAUGGCCCUUCUCAUAGUACCAACCAUACACUAAUUUUUUAAUAUUCUCAAAAAAAAUUGAAAUUUCUUUGUUUUGUUAAAACUAUGAAAUUCAAGCUAGGCAAGAAGGUAACUCGGGUCACUCGAUGGAUCUUCCGAAGAUUCCGGACCCGACCCAAAUACCGUCGUCUCGGCGCCUCACCGGAAAAGAGUCACCUGACAACGAAGCUUCUAACAUGGGGUCGGAAUUUAACUACAAAAGCAAAGUCUCUAUGUUCCAAAAAAGGGUUGGGUCGGUCGGCUUAUUUACCGGUUGGAAAGGACCCGGUUCAGGAAAACGGUUCACCGGUUCCGAAGGGUCAUUUAGCGGUUUACGUGGGUCAAAAAGACGGUGAGUUUCGUCGGGUUUUGGUGCCGGUGGUUUAUUUCAACCACCCUUUGUUCAGUGAAUUGUUGAAAGAAACUGAAAAAGAAUAUGGGUUUUGUCAUCAAGGUGGAAUCACGAUUCCUUGUCGGGUUACGGAGUUUGAACAGGUUAAGACCCGGAUUGCUUCUGGGUCGGGUUUAAGGAGAUUGGGUCGGCGGAGGUAUUUAUGACCGUUGAUUAAUGAAGCGGUGGUGAUGAAGAUUAGAGAUAAUGGUGACUUGCUCUUUCAAUAAUCCGGGAAGAUUAGGCUUUGGUGGUACCUUGCGUGAUAGCAAUGGUAAUUGGUUACUUGGAUUCUCUGGCUUUAUUGGCAUCUCUACUUCCUUAAGUGCCGAACUUCAUGCAAUUUUAAAUGGCCUCAAGAUUGCUCAAGCUAAAGGACUUAGAAAUAUUAUCAUUGAAUCAGAUUCCACUCUAGCAGUUAAUUUUGCUUCUCAUGGAACUUCUCACUUUCACCCUUAUGCACCGCUUAUCCAACAAAUUCGUCAUCUUCACCAAGGGGAUUGAAAUGUUUCUUUUCAGCAUACUCUUAGAGAGGGUAAUGAAUGUGCUGAUUGGCUUGCGAAGACUGGAGCCUCCUGCAAUGAUACUUUGAAGAUUUGAAAUAGUUGUCCUCCUCAACUCAGUCUCGUGUUGAUGGCUGAUGUUAUGGGUGUUGCUCGUCCAAGGACUUAGUUUUUUUUUCUCUUUUUGUUCUUGUGUUGUUUGUUUUUUUUUUCCCAUCUCAUAAAAAAAAAAUACUAAUACACACUCACAUUAAUUUUAGAAGGUGUGUAUUAGCAUUAUUCACCUAGUUACUUUUGACAAUAGAUAUCCUUUCUCUC